AUGAGCCACGAGGCCGGCGGCGACGAGAUAGCACUCCGCCGCCGCCACCCGUCGACGGCCGCGCCGCUGGACGACGAGGACCUCCUCGGGGAGAUCCUCCUCCGCGUCCCCCCGCUGCCCUCCUCGCUCCUCCGCGCCUCCCUCGUCUCCAAGCUACGCGGAGGCGUCGCCACCGCCCCCUCCUUCAGCCGCCGCUUCGUCGCCCACCACCGGAGGCCCCCGUCCUCAGUUUCUUCGAGAAGGGCGACGGGGAGCUCGUCUUCACACCCAUCCUCGACCCCGCUGCUUCCGUGA
rnacentral:rRNA from 1 species